GUCACUGGCUCAGGAUGAACGCUAGCUACAGGCUUAACACAUGCAAGUCGAGGGGCAGCAUGGUCUUAGCUUGCUAAGGCCGAUGGCGACCGGCGCACGGGUGAGUAACACGUAUCCAACCUGCCGUCUACUCUUGGACAGCCUUCUGAAAGGAAGAUUAAUACAAGAUGGCAUCAUGAGUCCGCAUGUUCACAUGAUUAAAGGUAUUCCGGUAGACGAUGGGGA
rnacentral:rRNA from 1 species